rnacentral:lncRNA from 1 species
CGCCAUAUUAGGAUUUGAUAUGACUUUAUUGUUGAAAACAUAGUCAUUAUGAAUUAACCAUAAACUCUAGCAAAUGCAAGCUAAAAGGAAAAUCACCUUUGAAUAAGGUGUGUGGGUGUCUGUGUCCAAAAAAGAGCAUCAUAUGGAAUGUCCACUAGCAACAAUUAGUAACACUCAAAGAAAACAUGUUGGGUUGUCUCUAAUUGUCCACACACAUUGCAGUGUUCAUCCCCAGGCCA